ACGAGUUCUUUGAUUAUAGUCAUACUGGUCUGUGUGUGUGUUAAGAAUGUCUCCACCCCACCUUUCCCCUUACUGGUAGACAUAAGGGUCUGUGUCAUGCCUGCCAACAUUUAGAAUUCAAAUACACUUCCCCCUAGUCAUAUGUGUGUAUGUGUGUGAGACCAUGCACAUAUGAAGAAUGUGUUAAAAUAAACCCCCUGAUACCCCUUUAUCGCUUUAAAUGGCUGAAUGAUUAAAGUAGUGUUUUUGCAUCUCUCUCUCUCUCUCUCUCUCUCUUGUGUGUGUGUGUGUAUGUGUGUGAGUGCAUGGUUUAGGGCAGACAAGCCUUGUGUUACUGUCUCACCUUUGGUUGCAAUUAAAAAACAAAAAUCUGACAAACUUUUCAUUAAUGCAGAAACCACCCUGACUGUAUGGACAUCAUGAAGCAUACUUUGGGCCAGAAAUGACCUGUGUCAGAAAUUUUGUCACUGGUGACUGGGAAGAACAAGUCACAGAACUGUCAUGGAUACACCAGAAGACUUGACUGAUUGACUCUGCCCCCUCUUCCCCAUGAUUAUGAAAAUUGAGGCCAUGCCCAACACAAGCAAGCUCUCUCCUCUCUUCAAACACUCUAAUUAGGCCCACACACACACACACACACACACACACACACACAGACCGUCAUACUUUUUUCUCCCACUCUCAUGCACACACAACACAGCAAUCAAGUUUAAGUAAAAGUAGCCCUUACAGGUUACACAGUUUUAUAUGUUUCAUGCUACAAUUUACCAAUGAUCUUGUAACUGGUUUGUCAAAUUCAGAAUUCAGAUAAAACAGGUUAAAAUGAUGAUUUGUCAAUACCUUUUCCAUAUGGGCAGGGGGAUCACAGUAGCCAAGGUGCAGCAUCUCUUCUCCAAUGUUCACUUUCCGCAAAACACACCAUCUGCGCUGAGCAAUGAAAUGCGCAAAAUGGGGAGAAAAUAAAAUGGGGAAUGUGGAAAAUAAUCUUCCAGCUGCGCAGAGAGGGGGGUCUCAGCGUCCCGAAUAUUGAACGCCUCUACACUGCCACCAGGAAUGACAAACAGCUAUGGGAUAGCAGAGCACCUUGCAAGUUGUCAGAUUAAAGAAAUGCCUCCAAAGUGAGAGUAUUGGAAUGGGAACUUGUGAUUUUUGUGGUGUAGAGGCGGCCGUGUGACCGUGCAAGCUAAUUCCUCGCUCCGCGGGAGGGAAGGCAUGGUACGGCUGGAGAGGGAUCUCUGUGCAGGUCGCUCAGCGCCGCUCUCCGAGAGCCUGUUGACUCACAAUCACUUGGGGGAGACCGGCAACCCACACACGCUGAGAAAGUGUGUGUGUGUGUGUGUGUGUGUGUGUGUGUACGGGGGUGUGUGUAUGUGUGUGGGUGUGUGUUUGUGUGUGUCAGUGAGUGAGGGAGAGAGAGAGAGAGAGAUACUGAAGCCCUACAUGCCAAAUUUUGCCGAUCUGUAUUAAGUAACUAAAACACGCAUGUAGGGCAGAACCCCUUGGCCAGACGGACCUGCAGAGCAAAUCCCAAAUUUGCCGGAGGUUUGUCUGGGUUUCCCAGGCUACUGUACAUGUAGGGCAAA